rnacentral:lncRNA from 1 species
CGCCGCCGCAGCCAGCACGGCCUGCGCGACCCUCCCCUCCUGCCAGCACGGCCGUCGUGUUGCUGCCCGUCACUGCGGUCACGUGGUUAGGGGCCCACCUGUCACGUAUGCAUACCGCUUCUCCUUAUUCCCCAGAAGCCACGGUCAGCUGGCUGAAGGUGAGUCUCUCAAGAUCAUGCCGCGCGGAUGAUGUCCAAGGCUGCUGUGCACAGCGUUGCCGACGCCUUCGGUCGAUCUGCUUCCGCCGAAGCUUCGCCUCCCUGUCGUGCAACUGCAGACGGUGGUUGCUUCCUGGCAGCAGUCGUCCAAGAAAUCUGCUUGUAGGGUAUCGCGAGACCGAAAGGA